GAAUGCUGACAUAAGUAACGAUAAAGCGGGUGAAAAGCCCGCUCGCCGGAAGACCAAGGGUUCCUGUCCAACGUUAAUCGGGGCAGGGUGAGUCGACCCCUAAGGCGAGGCCGAAAGGCGUAGUCGAUGGGAAACGGGUUAAUAUUCCCGUACUUGGUGUUACUGCGAAGGGGGGACGGAGAAGGCUAUGUUGGCCGGGCGACGGUUGUCCCGGUUUAAGCGUGUAGGUGUGUGUUCCAGGUAAAUCCGGUUCACUUUAACACUGAGGCGUGAUGACGAGGCACCACGGUGCUGAAGCAACAAAUGCCCUGCUUCCAGGAAAAGCCUCUAAGCCUCAGGUAACAUCAAAUCGUACCCCAAACCGACACAGGUGGUCAGGUAGAGAAUACCAAGGCGCUUGAGAGAACUCGGGUGAAGGAACUAGGCAAAAUGGUGCCGUAACUUCGGGAGAAGGCACGCUGACACGUAGGUGAAGUGGUUUACCCAUGGAGCUGAAGUCAGUCGAAGAUACCAGCUGGCUGCAACUGUUUAUUAAAAACACAGCACUGUGCAAACACGAAAGUGGACGUAUACGGUGUGACGCCUGCCCGGUGCCGGAAGGUUAAUUGAUGGGGUCAGCGCAAGCGAAGCUCCUGAUCGAAGCCCCGGUAAACGGCGGCCGUAACUAUAACGGUCCUAAGGUAGCGAAAUUCCUUGUCGGGUAAGUUCCGACCUGCACGAAUGGCGUAAUGAUGGCCAGGCUGUCUCCACCCGGGACUCAGUGAAAUUGAACUCGCUGUGAAGAUGCAGUGUACCCGCGGCAAGACGGAAAGACCCCGUGAACCUUUACUAUAGCUUGACACUGAACACUGGUCCUUGAUGUGCAGGAUAGGUGGGAGGCUUUGAAGUGUGGACGCCAGUCUGCAUGGAGCCAUCCUUGAAAUACCACCCUUUAAUGGCUGGUGUUCUAACGUGGGCCCGUGAACCGGGUUGCGGACAGUGUCUGGUGGGUAGUUUGACUGGGGCGGUCUCCUCCUAAAGAGUAACGGAGGAGCACGAAGGUUGGCUAAUCCUGGUCGGACAUCAGGAGGUUAGUGCAAUGGCAUAAGCCAGCUUGACUGCGAGCGUGACGGCGCGAGCAGGUGCGAAAGCAGGUCAUAGUGAUCCGGUGGUUCUGAAUGGAAGGGCCAUCGCUCAACGGAUAAAAGGUACUCCGGGGAUAACAGGCUGAUACCGCCCAAGAGUUCAUAUCGACGGCGGUGUUUGGCACCUCGAUGUCGGCUCAUCACAUCCUGGGGCUGAAGUAGGUCCCAAGGGUAUGGCUGUUCGCCAUUUAAAGUGGUACGCGAGCUGGGUUUAGAACGUCGUGAGACAGUUCGGUCCCUAUCUGCCGUGGGCGCUGGAAGAUUGAGGGGGGCUGCUCCUAGUACGAGAGGACCGGAGUGGACGCAUCACUGGUGUUCGGGUUGUCAUGCCAAUGGCACUGCCCGGUAGCUACAUGCGGAAGAGAUAAGUGCUGAAAGCAUCUAAGCACGAAACUUGCCCCGAGAUGAAUCUUCCCUGAGCCUUUAAGGCUCCUGAAGGAACGUUGAAGACGACGACGUUGAUAGGCCGGGUGUGUAAGCGCAGCGAUGCGUUGAGCUAACCGGUACUAAUGAACCGUGAGGCUUAACCUUACAACGC
rnacentral:rRNA from 1 species